AGGAGAGAGAGAGAGAGAGAGAGAGGCAUGAGAGAGAUAGAAGGAGGAGAAGAAAGGAAGAAGAAGGAGGAGGUCUUAGGGUAUUCAAGUGUGAUUAUCACUUGGGUGUUGAUCAAGUUGUGUUCUUGAUUUUACAAUCAAGAGAGGCUCAUUGAAAAGUUGAGGUUUUACUUAGCUUGGACCUGAGGUAAGGAAGUUAGUAGAAUUUAUGAUUGUGAUACUAUGAAUGGUAAGACUGUUGUGUGAAUAAAAAUGUUAUGAAUUAUGAAUGCUAUAAUGUGAUGAUAAGUUGGCUUGUAUGAACGUUGAUAUGAAUGGAUGUUAGCGUGAUGAGCGCGACACAUCAAAAUGGGUUGCUAAGGAUAAGAAGACAUAAUCCGAGUUACUAAGGAUAUGAAGACGUAACUCCAUGGGCGGACGCGCCGAGGUUAUUCAAGGACCAGAGACUCUUGUUUACCUCAAAGGGUGGCAUGGACAAGUUAGCGGGUCAUGUUCACAAGGAAUUGUUUAUGAUUAUGUUAUGAUGUUUGGUGAUGUUUAUGAUUGUGUUAUAAUGUUUUGUUAUGUUAUGAUGAUGUUAUGAUGUUUAUGAUAUGAUGGUGACGUUAUGUUGACAUGAAUAUGUUUAUGUUUA